rnacentral:rRNA from 1 species
AGCUGGGUAGCUAUGUGCGGACGGGAUAAGCGCUGAAAGCAUCUAAGCGUGAAGCCCCCUCCAAGAUGAGACUUCCCACAGCGCAAGCUGGUAAGACCCCUCAUAGACGAUGAGGUUGAUAGGUUCGGUGUGGAAGCGCGGUAACGCGUGGAGCUGACGAAUACUAAUCGGUCGAGGACUUAUCCACACA